ensembl:lncRNA
CAUAUUUGCUGUAGGCUUAAAACAGGCCUUAAAUUUAGGUGGGAUAUUUUAUAAUUGUCGAUGGUAUUUCAAUUUGCAGUGGCUUAUAAUGAGCUCUACUUUGCUUUUUUGCGACAAAAAAAGAAUAGUCUACUUUUAUAGAACUUUCAUCUCAAUACAGAUUAUGAAGUUGUGAUAAAUUAAAUAGCCUACUGCAGAAAUGUUUAUAUUGCUUAAUAUGGACAUAUCCUUUGGCAAAGAGAUGGAUGCAUUCUGGGAAGUGAUGUGUUUAAAUGUAAUGGCUACAUAUACCCGUGUUUCCUUCACUUAGACAUUUAUGCUGAUCCCUUUAAAAUUUUUGAGCAAGGAUAUAAAAUAUUAAGACUGUACUUUUUUUCAUUAUGAUUGAUAUUUUUGGCGCAAUUUUGUGCAACACGUCACUGUGUGCGACCAUCGCAGAAACCAUUGCCCAGCGCGAUUCCACCACGGUUCCUUAAUCCCUGUCCCUUUAAAAAAAACAGCACCUCAUUACAUAAAAAAAGGCACUUUUUAAGAGCCACAUUUGUUUUUGUUUAUUGUCUUAUUUGUAUUGUUUAUUGUCUUGUUAUCUCAGUCUCUCUCUCUCUCUCUCUCUCACUCUCUCUCCAUCCCUCUCCCCUCUCUCUCUCUCUCUCUCUCUCUCUCUCACUCUCUUUCCAUCCCUCUCUCCCUCUCUCUCUCCCCUACCAUCUGAGUGGUGGUUGCUUUUUAGAGGGACGGAGGACCUGGGUUGCUGCCUCUUCUUCACUCAUUGUAAUUAACUGAAAGUGUAAAGGUCGGGAUCAAAGAAUAUAGAUUCAUUUGUUGGUGUUGUUUUUAAGCGCACAAUAUACCAAUUUAAUGGAUAGAGACUGGCAUAUAAUACCUGGUUAUUGCACCAAAUGAAAUUUGCAGGAGUCUGCACAAUAUAGGCCAACCUAUAAGAUAAGAUUGCUGUUGGCAUGAAGUCUAAGUAAAUCAAACUUAAGUUUUGUGAGGAAUGCCAGUAUUCAAAGAUGGUUUAUGACUACAGGAAAGCAAACAGCUCGCUUGGCGACUUUAUGUUUCAGGAUUUUUCUGCACUUAAAUAAUUUGCCAGCUUGCAAACAUCCAGAUCUAGUAUUACCUUUGAUAAUGUUAGAAAAGUGAUACGUUAAGCAUAACCUGCUGCUGUAUGACACAUGCUAAAAGAUUGACUAGCUCUGUCUUUCUUGUACUUAUGUGUGUUCGGAUCCCUGUAUGAUAUUUAAUAUUUAUAUUUUUUGUAUGUGUGUACACUUCAGAAUGACAAAGCCAAAAUUCAGGCCUUGCCCAAGCUGCCAAGUCCGUCAGCAGGCCAACCGCAAAACAUGCAGUGCUUGUUUUUGCCACACUGCCAAGCAAGCGGUUAUUAAAAACUGCAAAAAUUAAUGAUGACUGGGGCCAGAGGGUCGUCAAAAACAAAAAUGCAUCUCGGGUGGUGGCCUCUGCCCAAAUAGCUGUAAGUAAAAAUGCUCAUGCUUCAUUAAUUGAGUGGUAAUCAAUAUUAAGCCCAAAGAACAUACAGUAUUUGGUACCAUGUUUGUUGAUGGACAUAGCAGCCAUGCUGUGUGCUGUGUACCAGGCUUCACAUGCGUGCCUGGAUGUUGGAAGUUGGCACAUCUUGUCAGUAUGAAAUUUUAGACAGACAAUCGCUUUAAAAACCACACCAUACAUCCCUAUUAAAUUGCUUUUGCAGCACACAUGACGCUCAAGUAAUAAAUGUACAUCACAUGCAAGUUGCUCUGAUAAACAGUUUGCCAAAAAAAGCUCCCCAUACACAAUAUGUAAAUAUUUUCAAUAUUUUCAUUCUAUGCAGGUGUACUUCUGUUGUGAAAAAAAAUCUUGAAUAUGCAUUGGUGUAUGUACAUAAGUAGGCAAUAUUCUAGACUACACUUAUCUUAAAAUACUUGUGUAACUGAUGGCAGGGACUAGGGAUAGGGAUGAACUAUGAAUCAAGUAGUACCUAGUUUAUACACCAAGUAAACUGCCCUCUGUUUCUGAUUCAAAGUCAGUGUAGAGUAGACGCCAUCUUCAUUAAUGUCACAACAUCUGAUUAAUUAUUUUCAAACAAAAUUGAGUACAGACAGUUGCAAUUUAAGAAAUACUCAUGAAUCAAUAUUUCUGUGUAUUAAUUUUACAAUAUGUCUUUAAUCAUCACAUACUUA